UACGAAGGUGGCUAGCGUUGUUCGGAUUUACUGGGCGUAAAGGGAGCGUAGGCGGCAAGAUAAGUCAGAUGUGAAAGCCCAAGGCUUAACCUUGGAAUUGCAUUUGAAACUGUUUUGCUCGAGUGUGGGAGAGGAUAGCGGAAUUCCAAGUGUAGAGGUGAAAUUCGUAGAUAUUUGGAAGAACACCAGUGGCGAAGGCGGCUAUCUGGACCACAACUGACGCUGAAGCUCGAAAGCAUGGGGAUCAAACAGG
rnacentral:rRNA from 1 species